GUAACAGGACUUAGAUCUGAAUAAAUGCUGUGUUGGUACCUUUUGGUGUUGUAAUGUUUUUUCUUUUUUGUAAUAUAUUAUUUUUUUUCCCACCAGGAAAGAUGCAAGCUGUGCAUGAACAUGUCGAACGCCAAAAAAAAAAUGUUUUUAAGUUCAGCUGACCUUCAAAUCCUUUUGGGAAUGCGCUGUCCAAAAGUUCAACAUCACAACCUUGGACUUGAAAGUGUUUGAUGACUCAAAGACAGAAGUUGAUGAGCAGGUUUUUGAUCUCCUGUUGAAAAACCCAAACCUUGGUGUGUUGGAAAUUUGUCUGGCCGAAGAUACAAAUCCAGAAGAUCAGCCGAGUUGUCUUGCAUAGAGCUGCAAUACCAGUUCAAGUGGAGAUACUGAAGUGGACUCAGAUGACACAAUAAUAUUACAACACAGUCCUACAACAAGACGAAGAGUUGAAGACACCUCUCUGGCCAAAGUGGUUGCUGUCAUUGGUGAGGAUGCAUCAUCCGUUGAAGGUCAUGUGAAUGUCCUGCAUAUCCAGUACAGCAAGGUGCGAGAGGAUAUACUAAAGAAGUACCCUUUCUUGAAGACAACCUCAGGGUUGUUUGAUGUUGACCGAAUGCAUCCAUCACAUGUCAG